GGAUGUGAGGGCGAUCUGGCUGCGACAUCUGUCACCCCAUUGAUCGCCAGGGUUGAUUCGGCUGAUCUGGCUGGCUAGGCGGGUGUCCCCUUCCUCCCUCACCGCUCCAUGUGCGUCCCUCCUGAAGCUGCUCGCUCGGUCGAAGAGGACGACCUUCCCCAAUAGAGGAGGACCGUUCUUCGGUCAAGGGUAUACGAGUAGCUGCGCUCCCCUGCUGGAACCUCCAAACAAGCUCUCAAGGUCCAUUUGUAGGAGAACGUAGGGUAGUCAAGCUUCCAAGACUCCAGACACAUCCAAAUGAGGCGCUGCACGUGGCAGUCUGCCUUUCUUU
rnacentral:snRNA from 1 species